UAUGUAUGUAAAUAUCUUUUAGGUCUGGUGCAAUCCAUCCAUUUUCUUUGUCAAAAUGUUGUCAAUGCCAUGUCUCAAUUUGUCCAGUAGAAGAAGUUAAUGCCAUUACAUGCCGAAUGUGAUGUCUUGUCGUGGAAACUGACCCGUUUUUAGAACCCCACUUUCUUUUGGACCGAUUAUCGAUGUUCUUUUUUGCUCGUUCUUAAAAAAGAUAAUUUGCAAAUGAAAACCAGUAGAUUAAGUUAGCAGGAUUAUAAUUGAAAAAUGAAUAAGAUACCUUAAAAUUUUCAGAACACCAACGCUCACAUAAGAACUCCCAGUCUUUUUGUUUGUCAUCCUUUAAGUCUGGAUGUCGUUUUUUCUUUGCCAUGUCAAUAUCAUUUCCACCUCCAAUUUGUUUAAAGUACAAGUGUAACUUAUACUUUGAACAAUAUGGCAAGUCAAAUAAAAUACUUUUUUUACUCCAAUUUAACUCAUUGGCUCCCACUAGUACAAAAACUUCUUUUGACAUCAGUUAAAACUAGUGAUUGGCAACGGUGUUGAACCGAUGCCUACGGAGACGACGCAAAUAAUUAUACCAUAUGUAACGGGUAUUUAACCGAUGCCAUAAAAUUUUGGCGUCUCCUACUAACCAAUGGCAUAAGAUUUUAAAAAUCAAUGCCAAAAAUUUUAAGUCCAAUUCAAGAAACUCUAAAAUCCGAUGCCCAUAUUG
rnacentral:lncRNA from 1 species